UACGUAGGGCGCGAGCGUUGUCCGGAUUUAUUGGGCGUAAAGAGCUCGUAGGCGGCUUGUCGCGUCGACUGUGAAAACUCGGGGCUCAACUCCGAGCUUGCAGUCGAUACGGGCAGGCUAGAGUUCGGUAGGGGAGACUGGAAUUCCUGGUGUAGCGGUGAAAUGCGCAGAUAUCAGGAGGAACACCGGUGGCGAAGGCGGGUCUCUGGGCCGAUGACUGACGCUGAGGAGCGAAAGCGUGGGGAGCGAACAGG
rnacentral:rRNA from 1 species